rnacentral:rRNA from 1 species
GGAAAUCCAUGAUCCUAUGCUGCCGAGAAAAGCCUCUAGCGAGCUGGUACAUGGCCCGUACCCCAAACCGACACAGGUGGUCAGGUAGAGAAUACUAAGGCGAUCGAGAGAACUGUGGUUAAGGAACUCGGCAAAAUGCCCCCGUAACUUCGGGAGAAGGGGGACCAGUCCUGGUGACGACAUUUACUGUCUGAGCUGGGGUUGGUCGCAGAGACCAGAGAGAAGCGACUGUUUACUAAAAACACAGGUCCGUGCGAAGUCGUAAGACGAUGUAUACGGACUGACGCCUCCCCGGUGCUGGAAGGUUAAGAGGACCGGUCAGCCACUUCGGUGGCGAAGCUGAGAAUUUAAGCCCCAGUAAACGGCGGUGGUAACUAUAACCAUCCUAAGGUAGCGAAAUUCCUUGUCGGGUAAGUUCCGACCUGCACGAAUGGCGUAACGACUUCUCUGCUGUCUCAACCACAGACUCGGCGAAAUUGCAGUACGAGUAAAGAUGCUCGUUACGCGCGGCAGGACGAAAAGACCCCGGGACCUUCACUAUAGCUUGGUAUUGGUGUUCGGUUCGGUUUGUGUAGGAUAGGUGGGAGACUGUGAAACUCGCACGCCAGUGUGGGUGGAGUCAUUGUUGAAAUACCACUCUGACCGUAUUGGACAUCUAACCUCGGACCAUGAUCUGGUUCAGGGACAGUGCCUGGUGGGUAGUUUAACUGGGGCGGUUGCCUCCCAAAAAGUAACGGAGGCGCCCAAAGGUUCCCUCAGCCUGGUUGGCAAUCAGGUGUUGAGUGUAAGUGCACAAGGGAGCUUGACUGUGAGACGUACAUGUCGAGCAGGGACGAAAGUCGGGACUAGUGAUCCGGCACCAGCAAGUGGAAGCGGUGUCGCUCAACGGAUAAAAGGUACCCCGGGGAUAACAGGCUGAUCUUCCCCAAGAGUCCAUAUCGACGGGAUGGUUUGGCACCUCGAUGUCGGCUCGUCGCAUCCUGGGGCUGGAGUAGGUCCCAAGGGUUGGGCUGUUCGCCCAUUAAAGCGGCACGCGAGCUGGGUUUAGAACGUCGUGAGACAGUUCGGUCUCUAUCCGCCGCGCGCGUAAGAAACUUGAGGAAACCUGUCCCUAGUACGAGAGGACCGGGACGGACGAACCUCUGGUGUGCCAGUUAUUCCACCAGGAGCACCGCUGGUUAGCUACGUUCGGAAGGGAUAACCGCUGAAAGCAUCUAAGCGGGAAGCCUGUUCCAAGAUGAGGUUUCUCACCACCUAGCGUGGUUAAGGCCCCCCACAGACCAUGGGGUUGAUAGGCCAGAACUGUAAGCACAGCAAUGUGUUCAGGUGACUGGUACUAAUCGGCCGAGGACUUACC